rnacentral:rRNA from 1 species
GACGAACGCUGGCGGCGUGCUUAACACAUGCAAGUCGAACGGAAAGGCCCUGCUUUUGUGGGGUGCUCGAGUGGCGAACGGGUGAGUAACACGUGAGUAACCUGCCCUUGACUUUGGGAUAACUUCAGGAAACUGGGGCUAAUACCGGAUAGGAGCUCCUGCUGCAUGGUGGGGGUUGGAAAGUUGCGGCGGUUGGGGAUGGACUCGCGGCUUAUCAGCUUGUUGGUGGGGUAGUGGCUUACCAAGGCUGUGACGGGUAGCCGGCGUGAGAGGGUGACCGGCCACAUUGGGACUGGGAUGCGGCGGAGGCGAAUGGGGGAGACAGAAGUGGGGUAUAUUGCACAAUGCGCGGAAGGGUGAUGCAGCAGCGCCGUGGGAGAGAUCAGUGUUUGGGGGAUAUAAAACGUGUGCGCGUGAAGCGAAGCGAGAGACGCGAAAAUGGGAAAAAGAGCCCGCUAUCAACGUG